rnacentral:sRNA from 4 species
GAGUUGAGCGCAGCGAAACAACGGAGCCGCUCGCGGCGACGGCCCGAAGGGCGAGCGAAGCGAGUCAUCCUGCACGACCCACCA